AGUGAACGCUGGCGGUAGGCCUAACACAUGCAAGUCGAACGGCAGCACAGUAAGAGCUUGCUCUUACGGGUGGCGAGUGGCGUACGGGUGAGGAAUACAUCGGAAUCUACUUUUUCGUGGGGGAUAACGUAGGGAAACUUACGCUAAUACCGCAUACGACCUACGGGUGAAAGCAGGGGAUCUUCGGACCUUGCGCGAUUGAAUUAGCCGAUGUCGGAUUAGCUAGUUGGCGGGGUAAAGGCCCACCAAGGCGACGAUCCGUAGAUGGUCUGAGAGGAUGAUCAGCGACACGGGAAGUGAGACACGGUCCAGACUCCUACGGGAGGCAGCAGUGGGGAAUAUUGGACAAAGGGCGCAAGCCUGAUCCAGCCAUACCGCGUGGGUGAAGAAGGCCUUCGGGUUGUAAAGCCCUUUUGUUGGGAAAGAAAAGCAGCAGGUUAAUACCCAGCUGUUCUGACGGUACCCAAAGAAUAAGCACCGGCUAACUUCGUG
rnacentral:rRNA from 1 species